GAUGAACGCUAGCUACAGGCUUAACACAUGCAAGUCGAGGGGUAACGAGAGGAAAGCUUGCUUUCCUUGUCGACGACCGGCGCACGGGUGAGUAACGCGUAUCCAACCUGCCCCCAACUAGGGAAUAACCUUGCGAAAGUAAGACUAAUACCCUAUAAUUUCCUCAGAUGUCAUCUGACGAGGAAUAAAGAUUUAUCGGUUGUGGAUGGGGAUGCGUCUGAUUAGCCUGUUGGCGGGGUAACGGCCCACCAAGGCAACGAUCAGUAGGGGUUCUGAGAGGAAGGACCCCCACAUUGGACCUGAGACACGGUCCAAACUCCUGCGGGAGGCAGCAGUGAGGAAUAUUGGUCAAGGGGCGGAAGCCUGAACCAGCCAAGUAGCGUGCAGGAUGACGGCCCUAUGGGUUGUAAACUGCUUUUAUACAGGAAUAAAGUUAGCCACGUGUGGUUAUUUGUAGGUACUGUAUGAAUAAGGACCGGCUAAUUCCGUGCCAGCCGCCGCCGUAA
rnacentral:rRNA from 1 species